CGGGAUGACGGCCUUCGGGUUGUAAACCGCUUUUGAUUGGGAGCAAGCGAGAGUGAGUGUACCUUUCGAAUAAGCACCGGCUAACUACGUGCCAGCAGCCGCGGUAAUACGUAGGGUGCAAGCGUUAUCCGGAUUUAUUGGGCGUAAAGAGCUCGUAGGCGGUUCGUCGCGUCUGGUGUGAAAGUCCAUCGCUUAACGGUGGAUCGGCGCCGGGUACGGGCGGACUGGAGUGCGGUAGGGGAGACUGGAAUUCCCGGUGUAACGGUGGAAUGUGUAGAUAUCGGGAAGAACACCGAUGGCGAAGGCAGGUCUCUGGGCCGUCACUGACGCUGAGGAGCGAAAGCGUGGGGAGCGAACAGGAUUAGAUACCCUGGUAGUCCACGCCGUAAACGGUGGAUGCUGGAUGUGGGGCCCGUUCCACGGGUUCCGUGUCGGAGCUAACGCGUUAAGCAUCCCGCCUGGGGAGUACGGCCGCAAGGCUAAAACUCAAAGAAAUUGACGGGGGCCCGCACAAGCGGCGGAGCAUGCGGAUUAAUUCGAUGCAACGCGAAGAACCUUACCUGGGCUUGACAUGUGCCGGACGGCCGCGGAGACGCGGCUUCCCUUCGGGGCCGGUUCACAGGUGGUGCAUGGUCGUCGUCAGCUCGUGUCGUGAGAUGUUGGGUCAAGUCCCGCAACGAGCGCAACCCUCGCCUCGUGUUGCCAGCACGUUAUGGUGGGAACUCACGGGGGACCGCCGGGGUUAACCCGGAGGAAGGUGGGGAUGACGUCAGAUCAUCAUGCCCCUUACGUCCAGGGCUUCACGCAUGCUACAAUGGCCGGUACAACGGGAUGCGACAUGGCGACAUGGAGCGGAUCCCUGAAAACCGGUCUCAGUUCGGAUCGGAGCCUGCAACCCGGCUCCGUGAAGGCGGAGUCGCUAGUAAUCGCGGAUCAGCAACGCCGCGGUGAAUGCGUUCCCGGGCCUUGUACACACCGCCCGUCAAGUCAUGAAAGUGGGCAGCACCCGAAGCCGG
rnacentral:rRNA from 1 species